rnacentral:rRNA from 1 species
GACAGAGGCCCCAAGCGUUAGGCGGAAUCACUGGGCGUAAAGCGCGCGUAGGCGGCUCUUUAAGUCCGGGGUGAAAGGUCCAGCGCUCAACGCGGACAGUGCCCUGGAGACUGGGGGGCUUGAGUGUGGCAGGGGGGACCGGAAUUCCUGGUGUAGCGGUGAAAUGCGUAGAUAUCAGGAGGAACACCGGUGGCGAAGGCGGGUCCCUGGGCUAACACUGACGCUGAGGCGCGAAAGCGUGGGGAGCGAACAGG